rnacentral:lncRNA from 1 species
GAGCAAUAGUAAAAGCCACAUAUAAUGGUGAUUGACCUCUUUUCUUAUUCUUAGUUUCGAAUCAAUGGAAUUUUAAAAUAAAUAUCCUUUUUUCUUAUGUUUUUUUUAACUUUCUUUUUAGACUUAUUUAAAUUUCCAUCUUCAUAUUCAAAAUUUGAUUUCUAUCGAAUUGACAUUUAUUCUUGUCUGAUGUUUUUUAUUAUGAUUUAUUAUUAUUUAUGGUUGGUAUCUUUUCCUGACUUAUUUAAAUUUCCAUCUUCAUAUUCAAAAUUUGAUUUCUAUCGAAUUGACAUUUAUUCUUGUCUGAUGUUUUUUAUUAUGAUUUAUUAUUAUUUAUGGUUGGUAUCUUUUCCAUUUUCAAAUUCUAAUUUAUUAUUGAUCUAUGAGUUUUAAUACUUUUCUAUACUCUGAGCCUAAACUAUGAU